ensembl:lncRNA
AGGUGAGACGCUUUGCGCUGAUUGGUGCUGCUGGACCACACUGGAGGUGCGAGUCCGCCGUGUAAUGGUUUAUGCCAUUACAAAGGAGCUGGCCUCUGUACUCAACUGGGCAGGGGAAAAAAAACCAAGGACCAGACAAAGCAAAAAAGGGCAUUUAAAGAGACAGCGCUGUGCAGAUGCAUAUUUGAUGGCCUUGCGCAGCAGGUAGGGGCGAACUCUAUGUCUGAGUUGGUCUUUGCUCAAGCAGUCCAGAAAUGGCUCAGAUAUGCUCCAGAUCGUGCGGGUGGCGCGCGAGGACGCACAUCAUCCAUCCCCAUCCCGGAGUAAAUGAUAAAA